CAGGAUUUAGCCCUUUCUUAACUAUGGACUC
rnacentral:piRNA from 1 species